AUUGAACGCUGGCGGCAUGCUUUACACAUGCAAGUCGAACGGUAACAGGCCGCAAGGUGCUGACGAGUGGCGAACGGGUGAGUAAUGCAUCGGAACGUGCCCAGUCGUGGGGGAUAACGCAGCGAAAGCUGCGCUAAUAUCGCAUACGAUCUCUGGAUGAAAGCGGGGGACCGAAAGGCCUCGCGCGAUUGGAGCGGCCGAUGUCAGAUUAGGUAGUUGGUGGGGUAAAGGCCCACCAAGCCAACGAUCUGUAGCUGGUCUGAGAGGGCGACCAGCCACACUGGGACUGAGACACGGCCCAGACUCCUACGGGAGGCAGCAGUGGGGAAUUUUGGACAAUGGGCGCAAGCCUGAUCCAGCAAUGCCGCGUGCAGGAAGAAGGCCUUCGGGUUGUAAACUGCUUUUGUACGGAACGAAACGGUGAGCUCUAAUACAGUUUGCUAAUGACGGUACCGUAAGAAUAAGCACCGGCUAACUACGUGCCAGCAGCCGAGUAAGAC
rnacentral:rRNA from 1 species